UAGGGAAUCUUCCACAAUGGACGCAAGUCUGAUGGAGCAACGCCGCGUGAGUGAAGAAGGUUUUCGGACCGUAAAGCUCUGUUGUUGGUGAAGAAGGAUAGAGGUAGUAACUGGCCUUUAUUUGACGGUAAUCAACCAGAAAGUCACGGCUAACUACGUGCCAGCAGCCGCGGUAAAUCGUAGGUGGCAAGCGUUGUCCGGAUUUAUUGGGCGUAAAGCGAGCGCAGGCGGAAGAAUAAGUCUGAUGUGAAAGCCCUCGGCUUAACCGAGGAAUUGCAUCGGAAACUGUUUUCUUGAGUGCAGAAGAGGAGAGUAGAACUCCAUGUGUAGCGGUGGAAUGCGUAGAUAUAUGGAAGAAUACCAGUGGCGAAGGCGGCUCUCUGGUCUGCAACUGACGCUGAGGCUCGAAAGCAUGGGUAGCGAACAGGAUUAGAUACCCUGGUAGUCCAUGCCGUAAACGAUGAGUGCUAAGUGUUGGGAGGCUUCCGCCUCUCAGUGCUGCAGCUAACGCAUUAAGCACUCCGCCUGGGGGAGUACGACCGCAAGGUUGAAAC
rnacentral:rRNA from 1 species